UGUACAUAUAGGUCUUAUAGCUUAUAUAUCAAAAAAUGCCAAUACAUGGGACUUCCUGGUUUGGGCUCCCUCCAUGCCUCAAGAAAGGUGGGAAAAUGAUAUGAGAUUUGUAUAGCUUAUUACUCUUUGAAAGUGCAAGCGGAUUAGAAUACAUCUCAGUUUAGAUUGGAUUUAAGUGGUUGGAAUUAAAUUUUUAAACUAGUACAUUUGGAAAUUGCUUAACUUAGUUUAACUAAAUAGACCUAGCCAUAUUUUAAAAGUUGUAUAGCUAAGUAAACUUAGCCUGAAUUAGUGAAACUAUCUUGGAGUAGCAAAUCAAGCUACUAUUUGGUAGC
rnacentral:lncRNA from 1 species